rnacentral:pre_miRNA from 1 species
UAGAUCUUUGUGGAAGUCAAACUUUGCCAACUUUGACCAAGUAUAGAGAAAACAGUCUACAUCUACAAUACCAAACAUGUACAUUCUGAAAAUAUACCUCAUGAUGUAUCCAAUGAUGUGCAUUUGGUAUUCUAGAUGUACCUACUUUUCUCUAUAAAUAUGGUCAAAGUUUGUAAUGUUUGACUUCUACAAAAAUCUA